rnacentral:rRNA from 1 species
UACGUAGGGUGCGAGCGUUGUCCGGAAUUAUUGGGCGUAAAGAGCUCGUAGGCGGUCUGUCGCGUCGAAUGUGAAAACCCGGGGCUCAACUCCGGGCUUGCAUUCGAUACGGGCAGGCUAGAGUUCGGUAGGGGAGUCUGGAAUUCCUGGUGUAGCGGUGAAAUGCGCAGAUAUCAGGAGGAACACCGGUGGCGAAGGCGGGACUCUGGGCCGAUACUGACGCUGAUGCGCGAAAGCCAGGGGAGCAAACGGG